AUUGAACGCUGGCGGCAUGCUUUACACAUGCAAGUCGACCGGUAACAGGCCGCAAGGUGCUGACGAGUGGCGAACGGGUGAGUAAUGCAUCGGAACGUGCCCAGUCGUGGGGGAUAACUGCUCGAAAGAGCAGCUAAUACCGCAUACGAUCUAUGGAUGAAAGCGGGGGACCGUAAGGCCUCGCGCGAUUGGAGCGGCCGAUGUCAGAUUAGGUAGUUGGUGGGGUAAAGGCUCACCAAGCCAACGAUCUGUAGCUGGUCUGAGAGGACGACCAGCCACACUGGGGCUGAGGCACGGCCCAGACUCCUAAGGGAGGCAGCAGUGGGGAAUUUUGGACAAUGGGCGGAAGCCUGAUCCAGCAAUGCCGCGUGCAGGAAGAAGGCCUUCGGGUUGUAAACUGCUUUUGUACGGAGCGAAAAGGCUCUCUCUAAUACAGGGGGCUCAUGACGGUACCGUAAGAAUAAGCACCGGCUAACUACGUGCCAGCAGCCGCGGUAA
rnacentral:rRNA from 1 species